rnacentral:misc_RNA from 1 species
GAUGAAGAACGUAGCGAAAUGCGAUACUUGGUGUGAAUUGCAGAAUCCCGUGAACCAUCGAGUCUUUGAACGCAAGUUGCGCCCGAAGCCAUUAGGCCGAGGGCACGCCUGCCUGGGCGUCACACGUCGUUGCCCCCCCAUCUACUCCUUCGGGAUUGCGGGGGGCGGAGGAUGGCCUCCCGUGCGCCUUGCCGCGCGGUUGGCAUAAAUGCCAAGUCCUCGGCGACGCACGCCACGACAAUCGGUGGUUGCGAAACCUCGGUUGCCCGUCGUGUGCGGUCGUCGCGCAUCGAGGGCUCGAAAAAAUUGCCGGGUUCCGGCUCGGCUUUCAACGCGACCCCAGGUCAGGCGGGGUUACCCGCUGAAUUUAAGCAUAUCAAUAAGCGGAGGA